rnacentral:rRNA from 1 species
AUUGAACGCUGGCGGCAGGCUUAACACAUGCAAGUCGAGCGGGGUGAUGGUGCUUGCACUAUCACUUAGCGGCGGACGGGUGAGUAAUGCUUAGGAAUCUGCCUAUUAGUGGGGGACAACAUCUCGAAAGGGAUGCUAAUACCGCAUACGUCCUACGGGAGAAAGCAGGGGAUCACUUGUGACCUUGCGCUAAUAGAUGAGCCUAAGUCGGAUUAGCUAGUUGGUGGGGUAAAGGCCUACCAAGGCGACGAUCUGUAGCGGGUCUGAGAGGAUGAUCCGCGACACUGGGACUGAGACACGGACCAGACUCCUACGGGAGGCAGGAGUGGGGAAUGUUGGACAAUGGGGGGAACCCUGAUCCAGCCAUGCCGCGUGUGUGAAGAAGGCCUUAUGGUUGUAAAGCACUUUAAGCGAGGAGGAGGCUCUUUUGGUUAAUACCCAAGAUGAGUGGACGUUACUCGCAGAAUAAGCACCGGCUAACUCUGUGCCAGCAGCCGCGGUAA